rnacentral:rRNA from 1 species
GAUGAACGCUGGCUACAGGCUUAACACAUGCAAGUCGAGGGGAAACGACGGGGAAGCUUGCUUCCCCGGGCGUCGACCGGCGCACGGGUGAGUAACGCGUAUCCAACCUGCCUCUGACUGAGGGAUAACCCGUCGAAAGUCGGCCUAAUACCUCAUGGCAUCGUCUGCGGGCAUCCAACGACGAUUAAAGAUUUCAUCGGUCAGAGAUGGGGAUGCGUCUGAUUAGCUUGUUGGCGGGGUAACGGCGCACCAAGGCGACGAUCAGUAGGGGUUCUGAGAGGAAGGUCCCCCACAUUGGAACGGAGACACGGGCCAAACGCCUACGGGAGGCAUCAGUGGGGAAGAUGGGUCAAUGGGCGAUGGCCUGAACCAGCCAAGUAGCGUGCAGGAUGACGGCCCUAUGGGUUGUAAACUGCUUUUAUGCGGGGAUAAAGUGAGGGACGUGUCCUUCAUUGCAGGUACCGCAUGAAUAAGGACCGGCUAAUUCCGU